rnacentral:lncRNA from 1 species
UCAGGAAUAGGUGGCAAAGAUUUUCUCCCAUUCUGUAGUCUCUCUCUUCAUGCUCCUUAUCAUUUCCUUUGUUUUGCAGAGGCUUUUUAAUUUAAUUUGAUGCUAUUCCAUGUAUAAAUUACUGUCUUUUUUUUUCUUGAGCUUUUCAGGUCUUUUAAGAAAGUCAGUGCCUACACCAAUAUGUUGGAGUGUUGAGUCUAUGUUUUCUUCUACCAGUUGCAAAGUUUCUGGUCUAAUUCCUAGGUCUUUGGUCUAUGUUGAGUUGACUUUAGUGCAGGAUGAGAGAGAGGGAUCACAUUUCACUAUUUUACAUAUGGCUUUUUAAUGGAUCACACUUCACUAUUUUAAAUAUGGCCCACUGUCGUUUGUUAAAAUGGCUAUCUUUUCUCCAACAUAUUUUUUGGUACCUUUGUAAAGUAUCACAUGACUGUAUCUAUGUGGCUUUGUCUCUGCUUCUUCUGUUCUGUUCCAUUGGUCUUCAGGCCUGUCUUGGUGUGAAAACACCAAUAACAUGGUGUUUUAUUACUAUAGCUCUGUAGUAUAGUUUGAGGUCUGGUAUUGUGAUGCCUCCUGCAUCUUCUUCCUAAGGAUUGCUUUGGCUGUUCUGGGUCUCUUAUUCCGCCAAAUGAAUUUUAGGAUUUUUUCCUAGUUCUGUAAAGUAUGUCAUUAGUACUUUGAUGGGGAUUGCAUUGACUCUUUUUAAUGCUUUUGGUAAUAUGGCCAUUUUGACAAUAUUAAUUCUGCCUAUCCAGGAACAUGGGAGAUCUUUCUAUCUUCUAAGGUUUUCUUCAAUUUUCUUUCUUCAGUGUUCUGUAGUUUUUAUUGUAGAGGUCUCCUUGGUUAGAUUUAUUCCCAAGUAUUUUAUUUUGUUUUUUAAGGUUAUUGUGAACAGGACAGUUUUCCUGAUUUCUUUCUCAGCAAAUUCAUUACUGGAGUAUAGGAAAGCAAAUGAUUUAUGCAUUUUGAUCUGACAUAGUGAUACCUUACUGAAUUUGUUUAUCAGCUCUAGAAGUUUUCUGGUAGAGUUUAUUGGGUCUUCUAGAUAUAGGAUAAAGUCAUGUGUGAAUAGAGAUAAUUCGACAUCUUCUUUUCCUAUUUGUAUCCCUUUCAUUCCUUCUCUUGCCUGAUUAUUUUGGCUAGAGUUUCAAGAACUAUGUUGAAGAGGGAUAAUGAGAGUAAACAUCUUUGCCUUGUUCCUGAUUUGAGAAAAAAAUGUUUUUAGUUAUUGUCCGUCCAACAUGAUGUUGGCUUUGAGUUUGUUAUAUGUAAUUUUUAUAAUGUUGAGGUAAUUUCCUUUUAUCACUAACUUCUCUAGUGUUUUUAAUAUGUACAGGUAUUGGAUAUCAUCAAAUGCUUUUUUCUCAUCUCUGAAGAUGAUAAUGUACCUCUUGUUCUUAACUCUAUUUAUGUGGUGAGUUACAUUUAUUAAUUUAAUGUAUUUGACCAAUCUCACAUUCCUGGGAUUAAACCCACUCAAUCAUGGUGUACUAUUUUCUUGAUGUGGUUUUGAAUGCAGUUUGCUAAUAUUUUAUUAAAUACUUUUGCAUCUAUUUUCACCAGGAACAUUGGCCUAUAGUUUUCUUGGUGUGUCUUUGGUUUUCAUAUCAGUGUGAUACUGGCUUCAUAGAUUAGAUUGAGGAGUAUCCCUUCCCUUUCUAUUUCAUGGAAUAAUUUAAGGAAGAUUGGCAUUAUUUCUUCUUUCAAUGUUUGGUGGGAUUUGGCUGAGAAUCCAUCUGGUCCAGGGCUUUUCUCAGUUGGAAGUCUUUUAAUUGCUGCUUCAAUCUCAUUGCUUGAUAUUGGUUUGUUUACGUUUCUAUAUUCCAUGGGUGAAUUUGGGUAGAUCAUAGAAAUUUAUCAAUGUUUCUUUGGUUUUCCUGUUUAUUGAAGUAUAAACUUUCAAAAUAGUUUCUCAUGAUCCUCUGAAUUUCAGAUGUAUCUGUGGUGAUAUCUCCCUUUUCAUCUCCAACUUUGUUGAUUUGUGUCUUCUCUCCUUUUUUGAUUAGUUUGGCUAAGUGUGUAUCAAUCUUGCUUAUCAUAUCAAAGAGCCAACUCUGUUGCUUUGAUCCUUUGUAUUGCAUUUGUUCUCAAUUUUAUUAAUUUUGUCUCUAAUAUUAACUAUGUCUUGCCUUCUACUGAUUUUUGAACUAGUUUGUUCUUCCUUUUUCAGGGCGUAGAGGUGUAAUAUUAAAUUAUUUAUUUGAGUUUUUUUUUUUUAAUGUAGGCCCUCAAUUCUAUAAUCUUUCCUCUUAGAACUGCCUUCAUACUAUUCCAGAGGUUUUGGUAUGUUGUUUCUCUACUCUCAUUUGUUUCUAUGAAUUUUUUUUAUUUCUUCUUUGAUUUUGUCUAUGACUCACUCCUCCUUCAAAAGUAUAUUAUUUAAUCUCCAGGUGUUAAAUGAUUUGUUUUUAUCUUGUUAAUGAUUUCUAGUUUCAUACCAUAAUGAUCUAAUAAAAUGCAAGAAAUUAUCUCAAUUUUUUUUUGUAACUGCUAAGACUUGCUUUUUGUCCUAAAAUAUGAUCUAUUUUAGGGAAGGUUUUAGGUUCAACUGAGAGGAAAGUGAAUUCAGUUAUUGAUGGGUAGAAUAUUCUAUAGAUGUUUGUUAGAUCCAUUUUAUUAAUAGCAUUGUUUGGUUCUGAAGAAUCUUGGUUUACAUCUGGAUGACCUAUCUAUUGGUAAGAGAGAUGUUUUGAAAUCAGCCAGAAAUAUUAAAUUAUGAUCUAUUUGAUUCUUUACAUUUAGUAGGGUUUUUUUUAAAUGUGAGUAGAUGCAUCCAGGCCAUUUUGAUUUAUUUAUGAUGCUUUAUCCAGAUUUUAUUCUCCUUUAAUUAACUAUUCUUCUAGUGAAGUUCAGCCAUAUGCUGGCUUUGAUAUUUUUACCUUUUAUUUCUUCUGUAUGAAAUAUUUCACUUUGUAUACUUUGUAGUGCAGGUUUAGUGGUUAUGACUGCUUUUAGUUUCUGUUUGUCUUGAAAUUUUUUUACUUCUGCUUUGAUUCUGAAGGGUGGUUUUUCUGGAUAUGGUAAUCUUGAUUGAAAAUUGUUAUCUUUUAAUGCUUUAUAUAUUUUAUUCCAAACCCUCUUGACUUUUACGUUCUAGGUUGAAAAAAAAUCAGUACAAAUUAUAAUGGGCUUAACUCUAAAGGUGGCCUCUUCUUUUUCUCUUCUGGCUUUUAGAAGUCUAUCCUUGUUCUACAGAGCAGGCAUUUCAGUUAUAAUGUGUCUUAGAGAGUGUCCUUUUUGAUCUUGUUUAUUUGGAGUUCUAAUUUUCUGUUGCAUUUGGUUUUCCACUCAUUCCUGAGGUUUGAAAUUUUUUUUAAUUUCAUUGAAAAGAUUGU